rnacentral:rRNA from 1 species
GAUGAACGCUAGCGGCAGGCUUAAUACAUGCAAGUCGAGGGGCAGCGCAGUGUAGCAAUACAUGGGCGGCGACCGGCAAACGGGUGCGGAACACGUACAGAACCUUCCUUCGAGCGGGGAAUAGCCCAGAGAAAUUUGGAUUAAUACCCCAUAGUAUAUUAGAGUGGCAUCACUUUAAUAUUAAAGAUUUAUCACUUGAAGAUGGCUGUGCGGCUGAUUAGGAGUUGGCGGGGUAACGGCCCACCAAGCCAGCGAUCAGUAACUGGUGUGAGAGCACGACCAGUCACACGGGCACUGAGACACGGGCCCGACUCCUACGGGAGGCAGCAGUAAGGAAUAUUGGUCAAUGGACGCAAGUCUGAACCAGCCAUGCCGCGUGGAGGAUGAAGGUCCUCUGGAUUGUAAACUUCUUUUAUAUGGGACGAAAAAGGCUUUUCUAAGUCGUCUGACGGUACCAUAUGAAUAAGCACCGGCUAACUCCGUGCCAGCCGCCGC